rnacentral:rRNA from 1 species
AACGAACGCUGGCGGCAUGCCUAACACAUGCAAGUCGAACGAGACCUUCGGGUCUAGUGGCGCACGGGUGCGUAACGCGUGGGAACCUGCCCUUAGGUUCGGAAUAACUCCCCGAAAGGGGUGCUAAUACCGGAUAAUGUCUUCGGACCAAAGAUUUAUCGCCUUUGGAUGGGCCCGCGUUGGAUUAGCUAGUUGGUAGGGUAAAAGCCUACCAAGGCGACGAUCCAUAGCUGGUCUGAGAGGAUGAUCAGCCACACUGGGACUGAGACACGGCCCAGACUCCUACGGGAGGCAGCAGUGGGGAAUAUUGGACAAGGGGCGAAAGCCUGAUCCAGCAAUGCCGGGUGAGUGAUGAAGGCCUUAGGGUUGUAAAGCUCUUUUACCCGGGAUGAUAAUGACAGUACCGGGAGAAUAAGCUCCGGCUAACUCCGUG